CUCGCCGUUCCUUUUUCCUAUGCAUAUACUUCUUUGAGGAUCUGGCCUAAAGAGGUAUAGGGCAUGGGAAAAUGGGGCGGUGAGUCC
rnacentral:pre_miRNA from 17 species